CGAACGAGUUCUCGUUGAUGAUCGGUGCUUGCACCGAGAUUCAACAUGGGAACGAGUGGCGGACGGGUGAGUAACACGUGGGUAACCUGCCCUUAAGUGGGGGAUAACAUUUGGAAACAGAUGCUAAUACCGCAUAGAUCCAAGAACCGCAUGGUUCUUGGCUGAAAGAUGGCGUAAGCUAUCGCUUUUGGAUGGACCCGCGGCGUAUUAGCUAGUUGGUGAGGUAAUGGCUCACCAAGGCGAUGAUACGUAGCCGAACUGAGAGGUUGAUCGGCCACAUUGGGACUGAGACACGGCCCAAACUCCUACGGGAGGCAGCAGUAGGGAAUCUUCCACAAUGGACGCAAGUCUGAUGGAGCAACGCCGCGUGAGUGAAGAAGGCUUUCGGGUCGUAAAACUCUGUUGUUGGAGAAGAAUGGUCGGCAGAGUAACUGUUGUCGGCGUGACGGUAUCCAACCAGAAAGCCACGGCUAACUACGUGCCAGCAGCCGCGGUAAUACGUAGGUGGCAAGCGUUAUCCGGAUUUAUUGGGCGUAAAGCGAGCGCAGGCGGUUUUUUAAGUCUGAUGUGAAAGCCCUCGGCUUAACCGAGGAAGCGCAUCGGAAACUGGGAAACUUGAGUGCAGAAGAGGACAGUGGAACUCCAUGUGUAGCGGUGAAAUGCGUAGAUAUAUGGAAGAACACCAGUGGCGAAGGCGGCUGUCUGGUCUGUAACUGACGCUGAGGCUCGAAAGCAUGGGUAGCGAACAGGAUUAGAUACCCUGGUAGUCCAUGCCGUAAACGAUGAAUGCUAGGUGUUGGAGGGUUUCCGCC
rnacentral:rRNA from 1 species